ACUGAUGGCCGUGAGCCUGAUGUGGGGCUCAAACUCAUGAACCAUGAGAUCAUGACCGGAGCCGAAGUGGGACACUCAACUGACUGAGCCACACAGCUGCCCCUGUUGUUAUAGUAUUUUAAAGCCAACCCCUGAUUUCUCAUCAUUUCACCUUUUUGCAUUUGUGAUUACGUCACCCUGUAAUUGCCAUGAUACAAUUUCAUUGCUGACAAUUUGGGUUGGCACUUUCCUUAGAUCUCUUAAUGCCAGCAGUGACAUAUUUUAUCAGUAACUGUCUAACAGAAUUAAUGAGAGUCUACAUUGAUGGAGUACCAUGUGCCAGGCAAAGGUCCAGGCAUUUUUACGUGUAUUAAAUUUUUUAAUCAGUUCUGUGAGGUGUGAGUUACUAUCAUCUCUGGUUUUAUAGAUGAGGAAUUGGAGGUAUAGAGAGUUAGUUUAUGGUAGAUUACUCAUGGGCAAUUAAUCACUUAUUUAAUAGGUAAUCCACAGUUUACAGGUUAUGAAUCUUCGUAAAUUGAAGCCAGGGAGCUUCUCACUCAUGAAUAUUUUAUACUUUUCUGCAUUUUGCUCUCCAGAUUUUAGGCUAAAUCUUAUUUUUGUGUCUUUAGUCAUUUUCUCAUACCACAGGAGGUAAGGCUGAGGACUGAGAAGUGUGUAUGUGAAGGAAAAAAAGAAAGGUAAAAGGUUUCUUAAUUUUGAGCUGUUAAUUGUAGACGUUUUCCUUGAUCUUCCAAGGUUUCCUGGCUGGGACUGAAAUGUAGACUGACAAAGAUUAACAGGAGAAAGCAUGCAAACUUGUUUAAUACAAGUUUUACAUGACAUGGGAUCUCUUAUGAGAAAAGAUCUGAACGAGUCAUUAAACUGGAGUGCUUUGAUGCUAGGUUUGCUGAAGAAUGACAUUGUGGAAAGAUAUGACAGGACAAAGAGUGUGAAGUAGUUGUAGUAAACUGGGGAAAUGUAGCAAGCCCUAUGUAUUAGAUCUCCUUCUAUGUCCCUUUCUCUUUAGAGAUAGGGAGGGCAUCUCACGUGAGGAACUUAUCACUUGCUUCAGGGAAGGUUAGGAAGUUCUUCCUGCACCUCCUGUUUUUAGAUGCCUUCAGUUUAGAAUGUUCCAAAUGCACAGGUGCCAUAUUUUUGGGGUAGUAUGUCUUGAUUACAUACCCUGUAUAAUCAUUUUAAAGAUGCGUAAUUGGGGCACCUGGCUGGCUUACUCAGUAAAGCACGUGACUCUUGAUCUUCGGGUUAUAGGUUGGAGUUCCACUUUGGGGGUAGAGAUUACUUACAAAUAAAAUCUUAAAAAAAACGCAUUGUUUUAGGUGUAUGAUUCUGAGUUACAUUCAAGUUUUACUAGUGAGUUGGAAAAUAGGAUUUUGUUUUCUAUUUAUAGCCUACCUGGGAUUUGAAAUACAAGCCUACAUAUAUUUUGUUCUCUGAUCAGUUUUAAGUGUUAUUUCUUCCUAAUUAGUUUUUCUAUUUAUAAUUUUCAGACAACAAUAGCUUCGGUGAGAUCUGCUGUCAGAACAGUCUUCAGAAGAUAGCCAAUCUUUCUAAUUACUGAAUUUUGAAUAGCUAUUUUCUUUCCCUUUCUAGGAAGUGUUAUCAGACAAUAAGAAUAAAGGUGGAUGUUGCCUAAAAAUAAGAGGAUUCCCUCCAGCCUGUCCCUUGGUGGUAAAUUCCAUCUCAAUACUGUAGAGAAUGGGGAGUGCCUCCUAUGUAUGGUGUUCUGAGCUGGUACUCAGUUAAUAAAAAGAAGGUUCCUUUCCAAGGUGAUGUGGUGCUAGAGAAACCUGGACCGACAUUUCAACUAAGCCUGGAAUUACCGAGCUAGGGAAAAGGACGUUUCAGGUAAAAGAAAUUGUUUUACCAAAGGAGGGAGAGUUCCACCAUUUUAGGUGGGAUUUUAUCCAGGUUGCCCCAGUUGAUUAGUGCAUCGGAAGAUUGAAAACACAGACUUCUAAGAAAAGUGUGCUUCUUUAAAAUUUACUUUAUUAUUUAAGUAAAAAAAAUGUUUCCUUAACUUUUGAUUAAAUCAUUGGAAAAUGAAAGGAUGCAAAGAUACUUGCUAGUUAAGGGAAAAUUGCUAAGCUCAAAUUUGCACUCUUAAUAAAGCGAGGUAAUCUGCUUGGUUAGGCAGAGUAACAUCUGAUUUGAAAUUGCAGCAAGGUUUGACAAUGUCGUUCUGUUGAAACUUUACUUUUGUAAGAGUUUCAGAUAUUUUUUGGCAAUGUUUAAAAAUCAGUUUAAAAAAUAUUUAGUGGGAAAGAAUAAAAUUAAGCACAAGUUAGUUUUCCUAAAUAUCUUGACACUCUAACUUGUACUUUUUUGGUUUGUUUUUAAUACUUCAGAAUUGAAUUGUGUAGCAACUUGAAAACUGCUUAUUUUUUUAAUGUUUGUGCUUCUUGGCUUUUGGUGCCCUCCAGUGGCAGGAAUGAACUGUUAAAUCCUUAAUUAAGUGUUUUGAAAAUGCUCAAUACUACUUGAUAGAGUUAAUUCUAUGCAUAUUCAACAUUUCAUUAGGAGAAAAUUAAACUUGCAACUAAUGGGAAGGAAGUACUAAUUUGGAUUAGUAUAAAGUGAUAACUCCUGGAAAUAUUGUUGGAACACAUGAUGAAUAUUCAAUGCAUUUAAGGCAAGAAAAAGAAUCUGCUGCAAUUCUCAAAAGGUAUUAAGGAACAUAGCUUGGAGCUGAAUCCCAUGGAAAUUUUAUCUAGGAAGAUAAGUGUAUCAAAUCAAGAGGAUAUGGAGGACAUACAAAGUGUAGUGAUAAUUUACAUAGUUUCUUACAUUUAUAGAUUUGUGAUAAUUAGGGAAUAUGGUCCCUAGGAGGGGUAAUCUGCUGCAUUCAAAAGAUAAGUAAAUGUGGUGGAAUUUUCCCUUGUCCCAGAAAUCAGAUUAUAGAAUUACAAAGUACCAGAUAAACUGGUCAGUUUCCCAACUUGAGUUGAAUCAUCCAGUUGAAACUUUACUUUUAAAGUAAAGUGGUUCUAGUUCAAGAUCAGUCUUUGAUCAGCAGUCACUAGUGGGAGGGAGGUUCCCACAAUAUUACAUUACAUUACAUUACAUUACAUUACAUUACAUUACAUUACAUUACAUUACAUUACAUUAUAUUAUAUUUAA